UACGUAGGGCGCAAGCGUUGUCCGGAAUUAUUGGGCGUAAAGAGCUCGUAGGCGGUUUGUCGCGUCUGCUGUGAAAACCUAAGGCUCAACCUUGGGCUGGCAGUGGGUACGGGCAGACUAGAGUGCGGUAGGGGUGACUGGAAUUCCUGGUGUAGCGGUGGAAUGCGCAGAUAUCAGCAGGAACACCCGUGGCGAAGGCGGCUCCCUGGAUCGGUCCUGACGCUGAGACGCGAAAGCGUGGGGAGCGAACGGG
rnacentral:rRNA from 1 species